rnacentral:rRNA from 1 species
AAAAACAUAGCUUUUAUAUAAACUCAAAGUGAUACCUGCCCAGUGGUUUGUAAUUUAAGGCAUUAACCUUGCUUUUAUUAAACUAAACGGACGCGGUAACCUGACCGUGGUAAUGUAGCAUAAUCAGUCGCCAUUUAAUUGUUGGAUAGUAUGAAUGGUUUAACGAGCAUCUCACUGUCUUGAAGGGAAACCCUAUGAAAUUGGAAUCGUAGUUAAGAUACUACUUAGAAUUGUAAGACGAAAAGACCCUAUAGAGCUUAACUAAAGCAUCUUUGUAUAGUAUAAAUUAAUAAAUUUUGUUAAGAUGGAUGUUGUUAGUUUGGUUGGGGCGACCACCUUCUACAUCAAACGAAGGUACUCAAAGUUAAUAUUAAAAUUUAUUGUAUAACUCAUAAGUUUAACAAUUACUAAAGUAGGUUAUAAUGACCCGUUGCGUGUGUGAAAAAACCCCAACGAUAAAUAGAUAAAAGCUACCUUAGGGAUAACAGGAUAAUUUAAUCUUAGAGACCUUAUCGAAGCUUAAGUUUGUCACCUCGAU